rnacentral:rRNA from 1 species
GAUGAACGCUGGCGGCGUGCCUAAUACAUGCAAGUCGAGCGAACGGACGCGAAGCUUGCUUCUCUGAUGUUAGCGGCGGACGGGUGUGUAACACGUGGAUAACCUACCUAUAAGACUGGGAUAACUUCGGGAAACCGGAGCUAAUACCGGAUAAUAUUUUGAACCGCAUGGUUCAAAAGUGAAAUACGGUCUUGCUGUCUCUUAUAGAUGGAUCCGCGCUGCAUUAGCUAGUUGGUAAGGUAACGGCUUACCAAGGCAACGAUGCAUAGCCGACCUGAGAGGGUGAUCGGCCACACUGGAACUGAGACACGGUCCAGAGUCCUACGGGAGGCAGCAGUAGGGAAUGGUCCGCAAUGGGCGAAAACAUGACGGAGCAACGCCGCGUGAGUGAUGAAGGUCUUCGGAUCGUAAAACUCUGUUAUUAGGGAAGAACAUAUGUGUAAGUAAAUGUGCACAUCUUGACGGUAACUAAUCAGAAAGCCACGGCUAACUACGUG